GGAGCUUUCUGUAUGGGUUGAAGUCGUACCGUAAGGAGCGGUGGACUGUACAGAAGUGAGAAUGCUGGCAUAAGUAGCGAGAAAUAAGUGAGAAUCUUAUUGGCCGAAAACCUAAGGUUUCCUGAGGAAGGUUCGUCCGCUCAGGGUUAGUCGGGACCUAAGCCGAGGCCGAAAGGCGUAGGUGAUGGACAAUCGGUUGAUAUUCCGAUACCACCUAUUUACGUUUGAGAAAUGGGGUGACGCAGUAGGAUAAGAUGUGCGCACUAUUGGAUGUGCGUCUAAGCACUUAGGCAUGCUUGAUAGGCAAAUCCGUCGAGCUAAGCUGAGGUGUGAUGGGGAGCCAUUUAUGGCGAAGUAUCUGAUUCCACACUGCCAAGAAAAGCCUCUAUCGAGUGAAUAGGUGCCCGUACCGCAAACCGACACAGGUAGGUGAGGAGAGAAUCCUAAGGCCAUCGGAAGAAUUGCUGUUAAGGAACUCGGCAAAUUGACCCCGUAACUUCGGGAGAAGGGGUGCCUACGAAAGUAGGCCGCAGAGAAUAGGCCCAAGCAACUGUUUAGCAAAAACACAGGUCUCUGCUAAAGCGAAAGCUGAUGUAUAGGGGCUGACGCCUGCCCGGUGCUGGAAGGUUAAGGGGAACACUUAGCGUAAGCGAAGGUGUGAACUUAAGCCCCAGUAAACGGCGGCCGUAACUAUAACGGUCCUAAGGUAGCGAAAUUCCUUGUCGGGUAAGUUCCGACCCGCACGAAUGGCGUAAUGAUUUGGGCACUGUCUCAACAGCAAAUCCGGCGAAAUUGUAGUGCAAGUGAAGAUGCUUGCUACCCGCGAUUGGACGGAAAGACCCCGUAGAGCUUUACUGUAGCUUAGCAUUGAAUCUCGGUAUUGUCUGUACAGGAUAGGUGGGAGACUUGGAAACUUGGGCGUCAGCCUGAGUGGAGUCAUCCUUGGGAUACCACCCUGACAGUACUGGGGUUCUAACCGGCGGCCAUGAAUCUGGUCACGGGACAUUGUUAGGUGGGCAGUUUGACUGGGGCGGUCGCCUCCUAAAAAGUAACGGAGGCGCCCAAAAGUUCCCUCAGCGCGGUCGGAAAUCGCGCGAAGAGUGCAAAGGCAGAAGGGAGCUUGACUGCGACACAUACAGGUGGAGCAGGGACGAAAGUCGGGCUUAGUGAUCCGGUGGUACCUCGUGGGAGGGCCAUCGCUCAACGGAUAAAAGCUACCUCGGGGAUAACAGGCUGAUCUCCCCCAAGAGUCCACAUCGACGGGGAGGUUUGGCACCUCGAUGUCGGCUCGUCGCAUCCUGGGGCUGAAGUAGGUCCCAAGGGUUGGGCUGUUCGCCCAUUAAAGCGGCACGCGAGCUGGGUUCAGAACGUCGUGAGAC
rnacentral:rRNA from 1 species